rnacentral:rRNA from 2 species
ACUUUAACAGAACCCUUCGGGGCGAAGAUAAAGUGGAUUAGCGGCGGACGGGUGAGUAAUACGUGAGUAACCUGCCUUAGACAUUGGGAUAGCCUCGGGAAACCGGGAUUAAUACCAAAUAAAAUCAUAAUGACACAUGUCAUAACGAUCAAAACUCCGGUGGUCUAAGAUGGACUCGCGUCCCAUUAGCUAGUUGGUAGAGUAAAAGCCUACCAAGGCGACGAUGGGUAGCCGGCCUGAGAGGGUGAACGGCCACAUUGGAACUGAGAAACGGUCCAAACUUCUACGGGAGGCAGCAGUGGGGAAUAUUGCACAAUGGAGGGAACUCUGAUGCAGCGACGCCGCGUGAACGAAGAAGGCUUUCGAGUCGUAAAGUUCUUUUAUAUGGGAAGAUAAUGACGGUACCAUAAGAAAAAGCCCCGGCUAACUACGUGCCAGCAGCCGCGGUAAUACGUAGGGGGCUAGCGUUGUCCGGAAUCACUGGGCGUAAAGGGUUCGCAGGCGGAAAUGCAAGUCAGAUGUAAAAGGCAGUAGCUUAACUACUGUAAGUAUUUGAAACUGCAUAUCUUGAGAAGAGUAGAGGUAAGUGGAAUUUUUAGUGUAGCGGUGAAAUGCGUAGAUAUUAAAAAGAAUACCGGUGGCGAAGGCGACUUACUGGGCUCAUUCUGACGCUGAGGAACGAAAGCGUGGGUAGCAAACAGGAUUAG